GUUGUAGUUUUGUCCUUCUGGACUUGUCGCCGUCACGUGACCUGCCGACCUGAGCUAACCUUGCUGGAGUGUAAGUGUCCGCUAAGACAGAAAAAAUAUGUAUGUACGGGAGAACGUAACUACGGUACUUCAAGAAGCAGACCAAGAAUUGAAGAGUAAGAAUUGAAUUUAGAAUUUGUUGGGCAAUACCAAACCGUUAGACAUCAGUUCAGUGGCACAGAUCCAACAUUCUACUCAUGCCGUCACCCAGCAUGUCUUCACCCAAGCUACUAGAGCAGUGUGUAUACAGCAGUAUGACAUCAUAUAUCUCUUCACUCAUUUUCUUCUAGAUCCUCCACCAUCCACUGUAUGGUUUCUGUCUUUAUUAUUGUAUAGACACAGCUAUCACUAAAGUAGCCAAUUCUAUGCUUGCUGUUACUUCCAGAGUACUUAGUAUUUUCUUGUUUCUGCUUUUUCCAACAAUACUGAUCCCACAUAUCUAGUCCACCUCCUUAUUUUGUUGCAAUGAAUGCUACGGUCACACACCUACACUCCAUGCUCCUUUUUUUUCCCAGCACAGGUUAUUAGCGUUUGCUCUGGCAAUGAUAAAUUACAUUUAAUGACAAUAAAAUAGAUUUAAAAUCUUUAAAAGCUCACCUUUUCCUCUUUACACUUAAGGACCCCAUUUACAGGACUUCUCUUGCACUAGACUCAUUCUUUAGAUUUCCCUUCACACAUCCCAAGAGACUGUGUUGUCUUGAAAUAUGUUAACAUGCCAUUGAUACAUAUUCAAGCAAAGUAGGUUUUCAGCCCAGGACACAAAACAGAGAAGGGCAGCAUAUAGUAAUAAACUUUGUUUUGACAGCUCAGAAUAAGCAUGGCAGAACUUGACAAACAACUGUCCCAUAUUAAUGUUGGUAAUACCGAUUCCUUUUUAAAAUAAUGUUGUAUAUGGUGGAGAAAGGAUCUGGUGACCACUACCACAAUUUGAGUGAUACAUUUUCUGUUAAUUCAAAAACAGCCUCUGUUCUUUAAUUGCUAAUGCUUCUGUGCUUUAUAGAAUUACUUUUGCCCAGCUACCACUCAUCCACUCAUGCAGAUGAGCUAUGUAGGCAUUUAUUAUUGAUGCUGGGUCUCUGGAGCCUGGUUUAUAGGACAGUUUUAGUUGACUGCUGUCUGUAUAACAGUGACAGGAGGAAAGGGAAGUAUUUAAAUAGCACUUUUCUCCAAUAAGACUGAAAGCACUUUACAGGGUUUACAUCAAUUAAGCCAGUUAUCAUAUUAAUGAUAAGUAUACCAGGACACCAGUAAAUUUAAUGACUUUUCCACUGAGGAAGGGAUUUGCUAUUAGGGGUUCAGACAAGAGGCCCAGUUGAUAUACAUUCUUCAAGGUAGCUUAUAGAACUGGGGAAAAUGUGUCUUCACAUGAUGCUUUAGGCAUAUUCACACAGCCUGCUGUGGGAACAUUGGAGCAAGGUAUUGAGAGCUUCAGGGUUCUGUGUAAAUUGAUAGACUUGUAAUUUGGAACAGGAGAUGUACACGCUACCACUGUGUAAGGAAGUGCAAUUAUGGACAAGAGUACCUUUAAUGAAUGCCAUCCAAUUGGACAACAACUGGCCAGAUUUCAACAACCUCGAUAGAGGCUGCAGCCAUAAUUGAGCCUCUGUGUCUCUGACAACAGGGUGUAAAAGGACUUGGUUUAAAGCUGCUUCAUAAUUAACUAAGAAAGAAAGGUACCUUGUAAAAAGAAAAUAUAUCUAACUGAUUGAAAAUUGCAAAUCAAAACUUAAUAAAUUCGCCCCUUUUAUUUAUUUAAAAUACAAGAGGACUGCUAGUAGGGUCAGUAGAAAUAAAAUACUGUACUGUGGUGCAUAUUCUCCUUACACUGUCUUACACACACACAAGCCUACCAGUGAAAUAGACUUUACAUGUCCUUAAAGGGGAAAUAAUAAGUAGGGCAGGUUAAAAGGGAGCUGAGAUGGAAUAGGAGGCAGGCCAGGGGCUGAGGACAAGUUAUUACAAAUUUACUGGCAACUACGUUGCCUUGUAAUUCUGGCCCGGCCCUGGCUGGCAUUUUAACGGCUAGGUCGGGGCCGGGUGGCAACCCUAACUGCUAGUGACACAAGCAAUUUUCUUUUUACUGUUCUAUAAAUAUUAUCUUAUCAAUUGCAGGUGAAACAAUGGGGACAUCUUUUUGCUGAGCUUUGUUAAACUGUAGCUUCACUUAGAUAACCUGCCCCCAAGUCACAAUUUUUCUUGAGAUGGCACAAGCCAUAGAUUGCAUAUGACCCAAAAGAGUAAAUAGCAUAUAGCAGCACUGUCCUAGUGUUGCCACAUGGCAGGGUAAUUGUCUAAAAUAUUAUGUUUCUUUUCCUUACUGUAUAUUAAAGUGAUGCUAUGAAGCUACAUGCUAUGAAAUGCUACAUUUAGCUUUGCUGUAUUUAUAGCUCAAUGUAGCAUCAUGUUUUUGUUUAUUAAUCAACCAACCUUUUUGUACUGUUUUUAAAAAUCAAUAGAAAUAAAAUACUUUACUGUCUUACACACACACACAGAAGCCUAUUCACUGACUUUACAAACUCAGUUUGGUCUAAAAAUAUAAAAAUGACUUGCAUAUUUAUUAUACGAUACAAAUAAAGGAUAAUUAUUAUAAUAA